CGUCUUUCUAGAGAACGAAGAAAGAAUGGUGGGAUAGGCUGAGGAUAAAGGAAAGAGGUGGAAAAUGAUGAAGAAAGACGUCAGAGGUGACAUUGAACAUUGCUGCGUCCAUGUGAGGAAGCCAAUCUAUCCUUCUUGAGGAUGGAAGACUAUAUGGAGAGAAAGGCUGAGUUGUCCCAGCUGACCCCAGGCCCAGCCAACACUCCAUCUCAAUUCCAACACGGAAGUAGUAAGGACAUACAAAAAGGAUGCGGAUAUGCUCCUCUGCCAUGCUAGAAUUUCUGAGGUAGGUAACCUAUCUUAUUGACACUCACAGAGGCUCUUGUUGUAGAUAGCGUUUCACAGAUUUAAGUGUACC